UCCUCUGAUAGAAAUUGAACUUCAAAAAAGGAAUUAGUUUGAUUCAACCAUUUCUUUCUCAACUCACCAACUUGAAUCAUUAAUCAUAUAUUUAGGAUACCAAGAAAUCACAUAACAUCAUAAUAUAUAUCAAUAUCCCCAGUUCUUUUUUUUUUAUCUAUUUUGUUAAAUGCAAAAUAGAUAAAAAAGUAACCGAUCCAAUAAAUCUAUGGAGUUGCCCAAUAAUUAACAUUAACUAAUCUUAUUAUUCUUAAUCUUAAUCAUAAUCAACGAUUUCUUAUAUAGCUAGAACGACCCUCACAAAUUGCGGAUACUAAUUUGUUAAGAAUCAAUCGAAUUGAAGCUAUAGCGUCAUCGUUGGCCGGAAUCGAAAUAUCUGCAAGAUCUGGGUCACAAUUUGUAUCGAUUAAACAAAUCGUCGGAAUCCCCAAAAUGGCACAUUCUCGAAGAGCCGUAUAUUCUUCUUGCUGAUCAACGAUGAUCACAAUAUCAGGCAAUCCCGUCAUAUAUUUGAUCCCACCGAGAUAUGUUUGCAAGGUAGAUAAUUUUCUCUUCAACAUUGCUGCAUCUCUUUUGGGGAGACGGUUGAGUUUCCCCAUCUUUUCUUCUGCUCUUAAGUCCCUGAACUUAUAAAGUCUCGUUUCCGUAGUGGACCAAUUCGUUAACGUACCACCGAGCCAUUUUUGAUUAAUAAAAUGAGACCGAGCCCUUAUUGCAGCUGAUGCUACUGAAUCCGAUGCUUUAUUUUUGGUACCGACGAUUAAGAAGCUUUUUCCCCUACUUGAUGCAUCAAAAACUAAAUCACAGGCUUCUGAUAAAAAACGAGCAGUUCUAGCGAGAUUUGUAAUAUGAAUACCUUUACGCUUUGCAGAGAUGUAAGGGGCCAUUCUAGGAUUCCAUUUCUUAGUACCAUGACCAAAAUGAACUCCUGCUUCCAUCAUCUCUUCCAAAUUGAUGUUCCAAUAUCUUCUUGUCAUUUUUUCCCACACUUCCUUUUUGUUUUUUCUUUUUCUUAUUAUUAACAAAGAGACGAGGUACCUUGAAAUAAAUAAUUGUUCCGAUGGAACCUUCUACCGGGGAUUGACCAUCGAUACACGGCACAUAAAUUUUUUUAAUUACUUAUUUUAUUUAUUACUAAAUCAAUAAUCAGACCAGUAUAGUUAAAAGAUAGUUAAAGUUAAAAUGAAUCCGCUCUUAGGAAUCAUUAAAUCGCAUAAAUGAUUGUUCUGAUGUCUCAUGUAAAUUUGUCUCAUGGAAAUUGUUUGUCGCGCAAGAACAAAAUAAUUCUCUAUGGUGUAACAAAAUAUCUCUCAUUUCCAACUCGAAUAGAUUUUUUCUUUUGAUUUCCAAAUAAAUGUUUUUGUCUUGCCUUGAACGGUGCACAAAUUUUUGGAAUCCGGUACCAACAGGUAUAAUCCCCCCCAGAACAACGUUCUCUUUCAGGCCUUUCAACCAAUCAAUACGACCUCGUAGAGCAGCUUUUGCUAAAACUCGAGCGGUUUCUUGAAAACUUGCUUCGGAUAUGAAACUUUGAGUAUUCAGAGACGCUCUUGUUAUUCCCAAUAAGAUUGCCCGAUAACAGAUCGAUUCGUCCAAAGCACGCCCUGCUCGUUCCGCUCGCAACAAUCCGAUUAAUUCUCCAGGCGAAAAAACAUUAGACAUUCCAUCUUCUGAAACCAACACUUUUGAUGUUACUUGACGUACAAUAAUCUCUAUAUGUCUAUUAUGGAUCUGUACCCCCUGGGAUCGAUAAACCUUUUGGAUCUUAUUAACCAAAGAGAUACAACUUUGGGCUAUGGUUAGCUCAGCUCCAAUCAAAAACCCCCAGGGGAUCCCAAGAAUUCUUGGUAUGCGUUCGUUCCAACCUUCAACUCUCCUUUCGAGGUUCAUCGAUAGUGAAUCAAUCGAACGCACUUCUAAGAUUUGUUCUACUUUUGGAAGACCUUGCGUUAUGUCACCAGAUCUCGAUUUUUCAUAUAUAAAUGUAACUAAUGUAUCUCCUUCGUAAAGGAUUUUCCCAUAAUGACCAUGAACAGUUGCUCCAGGAGUAGCCAAAUAAGGCUUAGCUGAUCUUAUAACUAAAGAGUCGACAUUAACAAUUAAAAUUUGACCAGAUUUUUUUACGUGUGGUUCGUAUUUAAAUAGACAUACAUUUUCACAAAUAAAUUGUCCAAGGCUAAUUUUGGUCGAUGUCUCUUCACAAUAAUCAUGAUGGAAAAAGCACCAAUUCAAAUGGAAUGGGUUCAAAAUGAUGUUACUGCAUGGAUCGGGAUUAUAAAUCCUCCUAUUUUCAUCUAUUAAACAGUAUUUAAGUACUUGAAGUACUUGGAAAAUCUGUUUCAAAUUGUCAAGUAGCAAAUAUUUCUUUAACACGAUCUGAUUAUGAGUUAUUAAAUGGUAAGAUGAAUAAAAAUUCGCUAUUUUAGGUACAAUAGCGCCUAAGAGACCUAAAGAAUCCCUAAUUGGAAUUAGGGGAUCCGAUUCUUUUGUCAAAUUGUUAUAUUUCGAACUAUUGAAUGGACCAAUUCGAGAACAAUUGGAUGAUGACAAAAUUAUCAAAGAUUGGCAUUCCUUAUUUCGAUUCAACAACGUACCAAUAGUUCCUUGAUGUUGGCUAAGUGAUUGAAUCUUCGCCUUGGAAUAAAAGGGAUUGAUAUUGGUGCGAUCUAAUCCAUUAUCGGGAAUCAAUCCGGAACUUGCCCUAUCAUACCUUUUUCCGGUAUACGAAAUAGUGGACUUGACUAACUCAAUUCUUAUGAAAUCGCGAAUUAGAUCAUUUGCCCUUACCUCAACAAAGGAAGCAUGAACCUCUUCUAUAAAACCAUUUUGUUCUUGGUCCCAAUUCAAUACUAAGCAAGUCCGAACUAAUUGAAUACUUGUGUGAUAAAUUCCUCGAAUUGACUUGCCAUUUCCAUAAAGGAUAUAAUUGACAACUCUAAGUUGGACAUUAUCCUUUUCCUGCAAGAUAUCCCGAGGGAAAAGUGUUGCUAAAUUUAUCCCAUCGGAUAUUUCAUAUGUGACUACGGGUCGAACCGAAACAAAAUACUUUUUCUUGGUAGGUGUGAUCCGUUGAACAUAGAUCCAAUUUUUCCAUUUUUUUGAUUCUUUAGAAUUUUUUUUUUCCGUUUCUGGUGGUAUAAAAAUGCCGCUGUGCCUGGAUAUCUUAUCUGUCUCUCCAGGAAAAUGAAUAUCUCCAGAAAAGAUUUUAAGUUCAAUAUAUUUUUUUUUUCUCUCCACUCGGACUAAUCCGCGUACUCGGCUUCUUGUAUUUAUAUUUAAAGCGAGUCGUGUAUCUACUCCAAUGAUACUAUUGUUCCGGACCAUUAUUAAUGAGGAUCCCGGUAAGAUAUGCACUUCUUCGAGAAUGAAAAAAAACUGAUCUACUUCCGUUUGGUAUUUCGGACUAAAUUCUUUUGCUCCUCGAUACUCAAUCAAAUCUUCUUUUUUUAUGAUUGAAUCCACCUCUAUGGUCCCAUAUUUAGUAAUUCCGGAACUGCUUCUUCUGUAUCGUGGAUCAUCAAAAUAAGCAAGAAUACUAUUUCUACGUAAAAUACCAUUUAUGGGUAUUUCAAUCGAAAUACCAAAACAGGGUAUUAGUUCUUUCUCUCGUUCUUGAUCAUAUUGUAAUGGGAUGAUGAAUCUAUUUCUUCGCUUUUUCGCCAAGAAAUCAGGAUUCUCUUGGAGAAUAGAAGGAUAUAUGAAAUUCCAAUGACCAUUGGAUAUGAUUCGAUCAAGUCUUGAAUAGUCAAGAAUUUUCCUAUCUUUUUUACCAGAAGUAUCCAACAAUUUAUGUCUUACUUGAUCAUUAGUCAUUGAGGGGUUAGAGAUAUAUCUUCCUUCAACAGAAAGAGAAUAAACAUUCAUUUGAUCUUGAUCCUUGUGGAGCGAAAAAGACACUAUACUGGAUCUGCACGGACCUCCUGCUAAUAUCCAUAAAUGACUUGUUUUUGGUAAUAGAUGAACAUUACCAUAUGUAUAUUCAGGUGCAUGGUAGACAUCGGUACUCCAGUGCAUUUCUCCCUCUGAUUCAGAAUAAAUAUGUUUUCGUACCCUCUCUUUAAAAUGAAAAGUAGACGUUCCAGCACGAAUCUCAGCAAUCACUUGUUCUGAUUCUACAUAUUGAUCAUUUUGAACUAAAAUCAAACUUUUUGGCGGAAUAGUCACAUUAUGUAUAAUAUCCCGACUCUCAAUAGUUACAUACAAGUCUAUAGAACAUAGAAAAGCGGGAUGCCCAUGACGGGUACGUGUGGGAUGAACCAAAUCCUCAUUGAAUUUUAUUUUUCCAUUAGAAGGAGCUCGUACAUGUUCUGCAGUACCGCCUGUGAAUACUCCGCCGGUAUGAAAAGUUCUUAAUGUUAGUUGAGUCCCCGGUUCCCCAAUUGAUUGACCCGCAAUAAUACCUACGGCUUCUCCCAAUUCGACCAGAUCGCCAUGAGUGGGACUCCGACCAUAACAUAAUUGACAGAUCCAAGAUGUACUCCUGCAAGUAAAGGGGGUUCGAAUAUAUAUUGGUUGUGCUCGAAAGGUUAUGAAUCGAUUGACAAGUCCAAUCCCAAUAUCUUGAUUUCGAGUGGCAAUGCAUCGUAGACCGAUAUAUAUAUCGUCUGCUAAUACACGACCAAUUAGUGUUUGGACAAAAAUCUUUUCCGUCAUCCCAUUUUGAGGACUCACGGAAAUACCUCGGAUAGUACCACAAUCUCUUCUACGUACAAUAAUGUGUUGAACUACUUCAACAAGUCUACGUGUAAGAUAUCCAGCAUCUGAUGUUCGUACAGCAGUAUCUACAACUCCUUUGCGGGCUCCGUAGCAGGAAAUUAUAUAUUCUGUCAAAGAAAGUCCCUCGCGUAAAUUGCUUUGAAUGGGUAAAUCAAUCAUUUGUCCUUGGGGAUCUGACAUUAAUCCUCUCAUACCUACUAAUUGGUGUAUCUGAGAUGCAUUUCCCCUUGCUCCUGAAAAAGACAUUAGAUAGACUGGAUUAGAGGGAUCAGUCAUCCGAAAAUUAGGAUUCAUUUCUUGUCUCAAAUAUUCACUUGUAGCAUACCAUAUCUCAAUAGAUUGACGUAAUUUUUCUACCGCGUGUACAUUCCCAUAAUGAUGGUGUUUCUCCAAAAUAAAACUUUGUUGUUCAGCGUCUUGGACUAACCAUCCCUUAGAAGGUAUUGUUAAAAGAUCAUCAAUUCCUAAUGAAAUAGAUGUAGCAGUGGCUUGAUGGAAACCCAAAGUCUUUACUUGAUCCAGGAUAUGUGAUGUAUAUCCCAUUCCGAAAUGAUCUAUUAAUCUGCUAAUAAGUCGUUUCAUAGCAGUUCCAUUUAUCACUUUAUUGUGAAAGACCAGAUCGGCCCGUUCUGCCAUAAGUACCUCUAUAUUCUGCUGAGUAGGAUUCGACAAUGGGCCUGAGUCAGUGAUUCGAAAACUUAACUUUCUUUCCUCAAUCUCAAUCUUGAUUCACGCAGAAAUUCAGAAAUUAUGAUACUAGUAAAAUUGGAAAAACCCGAAUUCCAGGCAUCGCCUAAUCGAAUUUCUUAGUUUAGAUAGUGUAUGAGUAGGCCCGACAAAACCCUUGUAUGGCUUCUUCUAUUUCUCGAUAAAAAGAAAUAUGACCAAGAGUGGUUCGAAUGUAUAUACAACGGAUUUCUUUUUUUACACUUCCUACUAUUAGAUAGUGCCCAUAAAUCUCAUGAUAAGUACCCAAAGAUUCAUAUUGAACUUCGAUGGGAACUUCUCUUGACCCAAUGACACGUUGAUCUAGUCUCCAUCGGAGCCACAAAGGACUAUCUAAACUGAUUCGUUUCCGCCGAUAAGCUCCAAGUGCAUCAUAGGAACUACAAAAAUACGGUUCUUUCUCUUUCGUAUACUUAUAAUUAUUAUUGUCAACUGUUUGAUUUUGAUAGUUUCUGCAAUUAUAUGGAUUAUACAUAUUUGCACAAAUACCUCGACGAUUCCCGAUCGUUAAUACAUAGAGUCCGAUAAGUAUAUCUUGGGUUGGUACGGAAAUGGGAUCUCCAAUAGCUGGAGACAGGAGAUUCAUAUGAGAAAACAUAAGUAAACGGGCCUCCGCUUGAGCUUCCAAAGAUAAAGGUACAUGAACAGCCAUUUGAUCCCCAUCAAAGUCUGCAUUGAAGCCCUUACAAACUAAUGGGUGUAAACAAAUAGCACGUCCCUCCACUAAAAUGGGUUGGAACGCCUGUAUGCCUAAUCUAUGCAGGGUGGGUGCUCUAUUCAACAAUACAGGAUGCCCCUGCAUAACUUCUUGCAGUAUUUCCCAUACAAUCGGUUCUUUUUCCCGAAUUUUACUUUUAGCAAUCCCUAUGUUAGAAACACCAUGUUGCCUGAUUAGACCACGAAUUACAAAUGUUUGGAAAAGCUCUAUUGCUAUUUCUCCAGGUAAUCCGCAUUGAUGUAAUGAAAGCGAAGGACCCACAACAAUGACGGAACGCCCCGAAUAAUCGACCCGUUUACCAAGCAGAGUCUCACGAAAUCUUCCCUCUUUACCUUCAAUUACAUCCGAAAAUGACUUGUAAACUUUAUUAUGACCAUCCCUCAUUGGUUGCCCGCGGAUCCCAUUAUCAAGAAGUGUAUCCACGGCUUCUUGUACUAAUUUCUCCUGACACAUUACUAAUUCCCCUGGCGUAGAUCUACUUGUUGCUAAUAGAUCAGUAAGAGUAUUGUUCCGAUAGAUAACUCUUCUAUAGAGUUCAUUAAUAUCCGAACUCAUUAGUUUACCUCCAUCUAUCUGAAUGAUUGGUCUCAAUUCGGGAGGAAGAACUGGUAAUAAGCACAAAACCAUCCAUUCUGGUUCUACAUUUGUUCGAAUAAGAUGUUUAGCUAAUUCCAUACGUCUAACCAAAAAAUCCUUUCUUCUUCUAAUUUUUCUAUCUUCCCAUUCAUUUCCAGUAGACCCUUCGUCUCCUAAUUCUUUCCAUUCUGCCAAUGAAUUAUCUAUAAUAAUUCGCAAAUCCGAAUCAGCUAAUUGUUCUCUGAUAGCACCUGCUCCUGUAGAGAUUUCUCGAUUUCGAAAUGUCUCGAAGCCUGAGGUAGUAAAAAAAAGUGGGAUACUGUAGUUCCGGGAUUGGAUUUCAUAUUCGAAUGAACCUCGUAAUCGUAAGAAAGUAGGUUUUUUAGCUAUGGGCCUAGCAAAAGAGAAAUCGAGAUAGGUUCCUAUAGGAUCGGAUUCCCCCCCUUUAAAAUCGGACGUGAAGGUUUCCUCUCAUCCGGCUCAAGUAGUUACACCAAAUAAAAAGGGAGGUGAAACUUUGUUCGAAAAAACCCUACAAAGAGCUACUCCUUACUCAAGUUCCCAGUAAGAACCAACCUUUCAUUGAUUCAUUCUUCUUUUUUUUUUACUUGAAUUUUCUGAAUUACUUAUGACAAAAUGGAAAUGUGAAAUUAUUGAGUAGUCUACUUCCCUGAUGAAUUUUUUUAAAGAAAUACUUUGGAAUUCGUAAGGGAUUUAUUUGUCUAUAUAUCGUUCCAUUCGAUCUUUUAGGUCUCUACUCACCU
rnacentral:lncRNA from 1 species